rnacentral:rRNA from 1 species
UCAGGCCUAACACAUGCAAGUCGAGCGGGGUUUUCGGACCUAGCGGCGGACGGGUGAGUAAUGCGUAGGAAGCUACCCGAUAGAGGGGGAUACCAGUUGGAAACGACUGUUAAUACCGCAUAAUGUCUACGGACCAAAGUGUGGGACCUUCGGGCCACAUGCUAUCGGAUGCGCCUACGUGGGAUUAGCUAGUUGGUGAGGUAAUGGCUCACCAAGGCGACGAUCCCUAGCUGGUUUGAGAGGAUGAUCAGCCACACUGGAACUGAGACACGGUCCAGACUCCUGCGGGAGGCAGCAGUGGGGAACGUUGGACAAUGGGCGAAAGCCUGAUCCAAAAGUGCCGCGUGUGUGAAGAAGGCCUUCGGGUGUAAAUCAAUGCAGUAGGGAGGAAGCGUUGAGUGUUAAU